GAAAUGUUAUAAAAGUGAGUUGACAUACACAAUUUAUUUGAGCAGCUGUCGAUGUGGCAUGUGUGUUCAUCAAACUUAAAUAUUUGAAAUAAAAAAACACAUAAAAAUUAAGUUGGAUUUAUCCCUUUUUCACUGGCGGGGACUUUCCAAGGCAGAUGCUUCCUCGGCACUUCAACUGUUUGAAAGCUGCAGCGGAUCUAAAUUUCACAGACUGAUUAACACGUCUCCGGUGGGGCAUGCAGCUGUCGUGGGGUCCUCGUGUUAUCAGCAGCAGAGUUGUAACCAAGCGUUUUUGUUACCUGGGGUCU